rnacentral:rRNA from 1 species
AGUGAACGCUGGCGGCGUGCCUAAUACAUGCAAGUCGAACGGAGUGGCGCACGGGUGAGUAAUAUAUAGCUAACCUGCCCCUUGCUGGAGGACAACAGUUAGAAAUGACUGCUAAUACUCCAUAGCAAGGGAUGGGACUCUAUCGUAUCAGCUAGUCGGUGGGGUAACGGCCUACCGAGGCGAUGACGCGUAACUGGUCUGAGAGGAUGAUCAGUCACAUUGGAACGGAGGCACCGUCCAAACUCCUACGGGAGGCAGCAGUAGGGAAUAUUGCGCAAUGGGGGAAACCCUGACAGAGCAACGGGGCGUGGAGGAUGACACGUUGCGGAGCGUAAGCUCCUUUUGUUAGGGAAGCGGUACCUAACGAAUAAGCACCGGCUAACUCCGUGCCAGCAGCCGCGGUAAUAC